UUGAAACACUGCACCUGUAUGAUCACUGAAGUUAAGCAACAUCAAGCCUGGUCAGUACCUAGAUGGGUGACCACUAGGGAAUUCCAGGUGCUGUAAG